rnacentral:rRNA from 1 species
CAGUAGCCGCGGGAAUACGUAGGGUGCAAGCGUUAAUCGGAAUUACUGGGCGUAAAGCGUGCGCAGGCGGUUAUAUAAGACAGAUGUGAAAUCCCCGGGCUCAACCUGGGAACUGCAUUUGUGACUGUAUAGCUAGAGUACGGCAGAGGGGGAUGGAAUUCCGCGUGUAGCAGUGAAAUGCGUAGAUAUGCGGAGGAACACCGAUGGCGAAGGCAAUCCCCUGGGCCUGUACUGACGCUCAUGCACGAAAGCGUGGGGAGCAAACAGGAUUAGAUACCCCCGUAGUCCCUGUCUCUUAUAC